rnacentral:piRNA from 1 species
AGUCAGAUGACUAAGAAUGUACUGGGGA